rnacentral:lncRNA from 1 species
CACCACCUAUAUCCAUCAUCAUAUAUAUAUAUAUAUUCUCAAAAAUAUCAUCUCCUUCAAUCCUUCUUCUUAUAGUUAAAAUCUGGGCAAAGCCCAUUUACUGAUAAACAAACAGAUUCGAUCAGAUUAAAGCAAUCCGAAUCCGAUAAAUAAAAUCACUUCAAUUCUUUCACUAUUUCACAAUCUUCGCAAUUUUUUGUGAAAUUCUAGACAACCACAACCCAAUUCAAUAAAAUUCGAGCAAAUCAUAACCCAG